rnacentral:misc_RNA from 1 species
GAUGAACAACGCAGCGAAAUGCGAUAAGUAAUGUGAAUUGCAGAAUUCAGUGAAUCAUCGAAUCUUUGAACGCACAUUGCGCCCGCCAGUAUUCUGGCGGGCAUGCCUGUUCGAGCGUCAUUACAACCCUCAGGCCCCCGGGCCUGGCGUUGGGGAUCGGCGGAAGCCCCCUGCGGGCACAACGCCGUCCCCCAAAUACAGUGGCGGUCCCGCCGCAGCUUCCAUUGCGUAGUAGCUAACACCUCGCAACUGGAGAGCGGCGCGGCCACGCCGUAAAACACCCAACUUCUGAAUGUUGACCUCGAAUCAGGUAGGAAUACCCGCUGAACUUAAGCAUAUCAAUAAGCGGAGGA